rnacentral:rRNA from 1 species
CCAAUAGCGUAUAUUAAAGUUGUUGCAGUUAAAAAGCUCGUAGUUGAAUUUCGGGAUCAAUUUAUUGGUCGUGCCAACGGUACGCACUGGUACAAUUGGUUUCUCCCUUCUGACGAAGCGUGAUGUCAUUAACUUGGUGUCGUGGGGAAUCAGGACUGUUACUUUGAAAAAAUUAGAGUGUUUAAAGCAGGCUUUGGCUUGAAUACAUUAGCAUGGAAUAAUGAAAUAGGACGUUUGAUCUUAUUUCGUUGGUUUCUAAGAUCGACGUAAUGAUUAAUAGGGAUAGUUGGGGGCAUUAGUAUUCAAUUGUCAGAGGUGAAAUUCUUGGAUUUAUUGAAGACUAACUACUGCGAAAGCAUUUGCCAAGGAUGUUUUCAUUAAUCAAGAACGAAAGUUAGGGGAUCGAAGACGAUCAGAUACCGUCGUAGUCUUAACCAUAAACUAUGCCGACUAGGGAUCGGAUGAUGUUAAUUUUUUAAUGACUCAUUCGGCGCCUUACG